GACGAACGCUGGCGGUGCGCCUAAUGCAUGCAAGUCGAACGAGAUCGCUUUCUUCGGAGAGCACAUAUCUAGUGGCGGACGGCUGAGUAACACGUGAAUAAUCUACCUAUGAAUUCGGGAUAACUCGACGAAAGUUGCGCUAAUACCGGAUAAGACCACAUUUCUUAUGUGAUGUGGCCAAAGGAGUCUCAAACUUCGUUUAUAGAUGAGUUCGCGGACCAUUAGCUUGUUGGCGGGAUAAUAGCCCACCAAGGCUACGAUGGUUAGCCGGCCUGAGAGGGCGAUCGGCCACACUGGAACUGAGACACGGUCCAGACUCCUACGGGAGGCAGCAGUGGGGAAUAUUGCGCAAUGGGCGAAAGCCUGACGCAGCAACGCCGCGUGAGGGAUG
rnacentral:rRNA from 1 species